rnacentral:tRNA from 1 species
CCCUGGCUAGCUCAGUUGGUAGGGCAUGAGACUCUUAAUCUCAGGGUUGUGGCUUCAUGCCCCACGUUGGGCG